rnacentral:rRNA from 1 species
GACGAACGCUGGCGGCGUGCUUAACACAUGCAAGUCGAACGGAAAGGCCCUGCUUUUGUGGGGUGCUCGAGUGGCGAACGGGUGAGUAACACGUGAGUAACCUGCCCUUGACUUUGGGAUAACUUCAGGAAACUGGGGCUAAUACCGGAUAGGAGCUCCUGCUGCAUGGUGGGGGUUGGAAAGUUUCGGCGGUUGGGGAUGGACUCGCGGCUUAUCAGCUUGUUGGUGGGGUAGUGGCUUACCAAGGCUUUGACGGGUAGCCGGCCUGAGAGGGUGACCGGCCACAUUGGGACUUGGAUACGGCCCAGACUCCUACGGGAGGCAGCAGUGGGGAAUAUUGCACAAUGGGCGGAAGCCUGAUGCAGCAACGCCGCGUGCGGGAUGACGGCCUUCGGGUUGUAAACCGCUUUCGCCUGUGACGAAGCGUGAGUGACGGUAAUGGGUAAAGAAGCACCGGCUAACUACGU